rnacentral:misc_RNA from 1 species
UACGUAGGUGGCGAGCGUUGUCCGGAUUUAUUGGGCGUAAAGCGCGUGCAGGCGGUUCGUUAAGUCUGGGGUGAAAUCUCCCGGCUCAACUGGGAGAGGUUCUCAGAUACUGGCGGACUCGAGGGAGGCAGAGGAGAGUGGAAUUCUCGGUGUAGUGGUGAUAUGCGUAGAUAUCGAGAGGAACACCAGUGGCGAAGGCGGCUCUCUGGGCCUUACCUGACGCUAAGACGCGAAAGCGUGGGGAGCGAACCGG